rnacentral:pre_miRNA from 1 species
ACUAUUCACAAUUUUAUACUAUUCACGUUCAACGUUUGACUGUUCGUCUUAUUUGAAAAAAAAAUUAUGAUUAGUAUUUUUAUUGCUAUUAGAUGAUAAAACAUGAAUAGUACUUUAUAUGUGAUUAAAUAUUUUUAAAUUUUUCAUAAAUUUUUUUAAUAAGACGAAUGGUCAAAUGUUGGGCACUGAUAUCCACGGCUGCAUUUAUU